UACGUAGGUGGCGAGCGUUGUCCGGAUUUAUUGGGUUUAAAGGGUGCGUAGGCGGCUUUGUAAGUCAGUGGUGAAAUACUCCAGCUUAACUGGAGGGGUGCCAUUGAUACUGCGGAGCUUGAGUACAGAUGAGGUAGGCGGAAUUGACGGUGUAGCGGUGAAAUGCAUAGAUAUCGUCAAGAACACCGAUAGCGAAGGCAGCUUACUGGGCUGUAACUGACGCUGAUGCACGAAAGUGUGGGGAUCAAAACAGGA
rnacentral:rRNA from 1 species